GACGAACGCUGGCGGCGUGCUUAACACAUGCAAGUCGAGCGGUAAGGCCCUUCGGGGUACCCGAGCGGCGAACGGGUGAGUAACACGUGAGUAAUCUGCCCAUCACUUCGGGAUAACUCCGGGAAACCGGUGCUAAUACCGAAUAUGACCACUUCAGGCAUCUGAUGGUGGUGGAAAGUUCCGGCGGUGAUGGAUGAGCUCGCGGCCUAUCAGCUUGUUGGUGGGGUGGUGGCCUACCAAGGCUUCGACGGGUAGCCGGCCUGAGCGGGUGACCGGCCACACUGGGACUGAACAACGGCCCAGACUCCUACGGGAGGCAGCAGUGGGGAAUAUUGGACGAUGGGCGAAAGCCUGAUCCAGCAACGCCGCGUGAGGGAUGACGGCCUUCGGGUUGUAAACCUCUUUCAGCAGGGACGAAGCGCAAGUGACGGUACCUGCAGAAGAAGCACCGGCCAACUACGUG
rnacentral:rRNA from 1 species